GGCCCGGGGCCUCCCGGGGCCAUCGGGGUCAUCGGCCCGCCCGGCACGGAGCCCGCCGCGGGGGCUGGGCGGGGGAGGGAGGGCAUCCGAGCCUCUCUUUUGGGAGGUGAGAUGCUGAGGCCUGAGGGUGCGUAGGGGAGCGGUCCAAGGUCACGGCUGGUGACCGGCAGGGCCCGUGGUCUGUGUGACUCCAAAGCCGUGGUCCUGGUCCAGCUCUGGAGGGGUGCAGCGGGGUUCAGGCUCUCGUGGAAACUCAAGAGCAGGAGGUCUGAAUCUGGGGGCUGCGGAUGGCCUCCCAGAGGUCUGCGAACCCCGUGAGUUUGUGUGUCACAUGUUGUGUUGCAUUUUUCUUGAGAGUUUCAUAGGUGUCAGUGACCCAAAAAGGGGUAAGAACCAGGGCUUUCCCAGGUGCCGGUUCCUCUGUGGGGCCUCUGACUGUGCGAGGUCCUGAGGCUCUUCUGCAGUCUACGGCAUCUUGAGACUCUCUCCUCCAGGCCUUGCUGGUCCCCUGGAGGGACUGGCCGUCUCUACAGGAUCCCAGGAUCCUUCUCCCGCAUCUUGAGAAUCUUGCUAUAGAGUCCUGGGGUCCAUCUGGGUAUUUGAGGUCCCCAGGGGACCCUGGUAUCUCUUUCUGAGACGCUGAGAAUCUCACCGUAGAGUCCUCGGGUCCUCCAUGGUGUGAGUUCUAAACCUGGGCCUCAGGAUGCCUGUGAGCCCCUGAAAUUGCAGGCAAGAUUUUGUGGGUCUGUCUGUAGACGUGUAGUUCCUGGGAGAGGUCGCAUGGAUUUCACCAGAUUCUGAAAGGGGUCCCUGAUCCCCAAAGCUGGGAAAACAUUGCUUUAGAGCGUCCAGUCUUAGACAGACCUUGCUCCCUUCUCACCAAGAAGAGCCAGGGAGGAAUGAGAUGGAGGAGAUAAAAGGCAGCGUUGUGUAGCAGAUGGAGUGUGGGCUUUGGAGUCAGGCAUCUGGGUUAAAAUCCCGGUCUUUCCACUUACCAGCUUUGUGACCUUGAGCAAGUUUCUUAACCUCUCUGAGCCUUAAGGCCACCUCCUCUAGGAAGCCUUCCCUUGUCCUGAAUUCAGCCAGAUCCCCGCUCCACAUCCCUCAAGCCCUCAUAGCACGUGGCCUGAUGCUUUGUGGCACUUAGUGCAGUUGCUGUGAAGGAAUUAACCAUAUUUAGUGUUGUCUGUCCUCCCCAGCAGUCAUCAGCUCCGAGAAGGCAGGGACCUUUGCUGUCGCCCAGUCUGUGCCGUGCCUGGCCCUUGUCAGGCUCUCAGCCAUUCGAGAUGGCAAUCUGCAGCACCGAAGAGUUCAGGGACUUGCCCGAGGCCGCCCCGGCGAUCACAGCUGCCUGAGUUCAGAGCUCACUCGCUUCGGAAUCCAGCCCACAUCCCUCAGAAAGCGGACUUGGAUGUUGUGAAGGUCUUGGUUCAGACCCCACUACACGUGAGCCUUCGGCCACUGUAGGAGAUCAGGACCAUUAUUACGCUCGUUUUUUCAGAUGAGAAACUGAGAUGCAGACUUCAAAGCCAGAGGUCACACAACUGGCUAGCGCGCUGGAAACGCCCAGGGCCUGGCUGCAGCUCUCCCAGAGGCCUGCGGAGACGCCAAGGGCAGUUUAACACAGAUCCACCUCUCUCUGAGGAAAGAGAGAGGAGAAAGGCACAGGGAGGGACGGUCAGCCCUCCUGCAAAGAGAACUCACAGCCGUUCCCAACUGGGAGGCUUGCCGAGGGAGAGACACCCUGGGGCAUCAGAUGUGACUCUGCAGAAUCCACCUGGGGUCUCGAGACUGGAGUGUUGGUUCCUGUUCCAAGGGCACUGCUCUGCCGGGCCACUCUCAGCAAGCCAUUUCCUCUCUCAGGACCUCAGAGUCUUCCACCGUGAGACGAUUGGGUGGAUCAUCACGAGGGGUGCUGUGUGGUGUUAGGAGCUAAUAAUAUUGAUGAUAAUAAUAAUAAUGAAAAUCAG
rnacentral:lncRNA from 1 species